rnacentral:rRNA from 1 species
CACUCCUACGGGAGGCAGCAGUGGGGAAUUUUGGACAAUGGGCGAAAGCCUGAUCCAGCAAUGCCGCGUGAGUGAAGAAGGCCUUCGGGUUGUAAAGCUCUUUUGUCAGGGAAGAAACGGUGAGAGCUAAUAUCUCUCGCUAAUGACGGUACCUGAAGAAUAAGCACCGGCUAACUACGUGCCAGCAGCCGCGGUAAUACGUAGGGUGCAAGCGUUAAUCGGAAUUACUGGGCGUAAAGCGUGCGCAGGCGGUUUUGUAAGUCUGAUGUGAAAUCCCCGGGCUCAACCUGGGAAUUGCAUUGGAGACUGCAAGGCUAGAAUCUGGCAGAGGGGGGUAGAAUUCCACGUGUAGCAGUGAAAUGCGUAGAUAUGUGGAGGAACACCGAUGGCGAAGGCAGCCCCCUGGGUCAAGAUUGACGCUCAUGCACGAAAGCGUGGGGAGCAAACAGGAUUAGAAACCCUUGUAGUCCCAUGAU